UACGAAGGGGACUAGCGUUGUUCGGAAUCACUGGGCGUAAAGCGCACGUAGGCGGCUUUGUAAGUCAGGGGUGAAAUCCCGGGGCUCAACCUCGGAACUGCCUUUGAUACUGCGAAUCUAGAGUCCGAUAGAGGUGGGUGGAAUUCCUAGUGUAGAGGUGAAAUUCGUAGAUAUUAGGAAGAACACCGGUGGCGAAGGCGGCCCACUGGAUCGGUACUGACGCUGAGGUGCGAAAGCGUGGGGAGCAAACAGG
rnacentral:rRNA from 1 species